CUUUUGUGUUUUUUUUUCUCCGAGUUAUUCAAGAAAAUGGAGCAUCUUGAACAGAUGGAACUUCAAUUAUUGGAGCAGUGCCGUGAGAUUACUACCUUGGUGCAGUGUUUCGCGUGGCUGCAACGAUGUGAAGAGUGCAUUGAGCAGCUCGAAGAACUUAGUCGCGCUAAACGUCCUCGGCUCACCGUUGGACAUAGACAAUCUGUGGUAGCGAAAAUCGCGCGACUCGCGAGUGAAAAGACUCUGUUAGAGAGACGUUUCGUGCACGUUGGUGAUUACGCGGGCACUAGUGAUAACGCGGAAAGACUCGUUUGGCGAGAAAUUGAUACCGCGUUCAAGAGUCGUGUUCUGACCGGUGCGGUAAUUAAUUCUAAACACAUCGAACCGCGUCAGUUUCUUGAAGAUGUGCGCGAAAUUGUGUUCAAUCAAGUGCGAGAGACUAUUGAAAAACACGGUAGCGUAAAAAUGAACACCGUGUUCAACGGUGAAUUUACGAACUUUCGUGGUGAACGUAACAAUAAAAAUGUUACCACUAAAAAUUAUGAACUUUAUCGCAUCUCAAAUCUGCACGAGUGGUACGAGCAGCACGUCAUCAAAAUCACAUUGACAAUGCUUGACGAGUUUCAAGAACGUGAUAGCGGAUGGGCGCUGUCACGAAUCCUGAAUUUGACGGUGAACAUAAACAAACUUAAUCCAAUGCUUGCGGGAUGUGAUAUUGCAUUACCACGUGAAAUUAUGUUGAAGAAAGCGGUGAUCAACGUAAAAUCAAAGGACAAUGCGUGUUUUGCGUGGUCAGUGGUGACCGUUCUUUAUCAAGCUGAGCUUCAUGUGAACCGAACAUCUUCUUAUCCGUAUUACGCAACGGUACUUAACUUCGACGGCAUAGAGUUCCUAGUGAUGCUAAAAGACAUUAAAAAAUUUGAACGUGGGAACAGUGUGUCGAUUAACGUGUACAGUGGACAGAAGGAAGAAAAGAGAUUGACUGUUCUCCCGAUACGGCUCACUGACGACGAAAAGGAGAGACACGUCAACUUACGUGGAAGAUCCACAAGACAAAAAUCUCGGCCAUUAUGCAUGGAUCAAAAAUCUAUCUCGUCUUGUGAGCUCACAAUUAAGCAAGAAAAAUAAUAAAAAAUACAUUUGCGAUCGGUAAGUGUAAUAAAAUAAUUUCAAGAAAAAUAAAAUUUAAUUGAAACAUUUUUGAAUAAUAUUUUUAAAACAUUUUAUUUAUUAUUUACAGAUGCCUACAUUACUUCAGCUCCAAUGAAAAGUUAAAGACGCACGCGGUGGACUGCGGAAGGCUGAACGACUGUGCCAUCCGAUUGCCGAACGAAGAUAACAAGUGGCUUCGAUUUGAAAAUUAUCGCAACAAGGAGCGACUUCCUUUCGUCGUUUACGCUGAUCUUGAGUGUCCUCGAAAAGAUGGAAUCGGAUGCUAGCAAAACAUCAUACACAUACCAAAGACAUGAGGUAUUUAACGUAGGACAUGCGAUGUUCCUACAAUGAUGCACUAUCCGCAUACCGGUUUCGUCGCGAUCUCAAUUGUGUCUCGUGAUUCAUCGAAGAAUUGAAAAAUUUAGCGUAUAAAGUAAAAUCAAUUAUAUCCACCAAUGUUCCCAUGAACGCGUUAUCAAAGGAACAGUGGGAGGCAUACCAUAACGCAACACAUUGUCACAUAUGCGAGAAACCAUUUAUACAAGACGAUAAACGGGUACGUGAUCAUUGCCAUUUAACCGGCAGAUACAGAGGUCCCGCGCAUUCAAAUUGCAACUUAAAUUAUAAACAAUCGUUUUACAUUACGGUAAUAUUUCAUAAUUUGUCAGGCUACGAUUCACAUUUUAUAAUCAAGGAAAUAGCCACGGCGUUGGAAGGGCAAGUAGAUUUACUUCCCAUCACAAAAGAAAAAUAUAUCUCGUUCACAAAAAAUAUUAAAGCUACAGAAAAUCAGAAAACUUGUAUAAAAUUACAAUUUAUCGAUUCGUAUAAAUUUCUUAAUGCCAGUCUCGACAAACUGGCUUCGUUUUUGAAUAAGGAUAAACUCCAAAUUUUACAAUCUCAAUUUAAAGACAUAUCAGCAGAAAAUUUCAAUUUAUUGACGCGAAAAGGAGUAUUCCCUUACAAAUAUGUUGACAGUGUUGAAAAGUUGGAGGAAACAUGUCUACCAUCACGCGAAUCAUUUUACAGCUCUCUUAGCGGUGACACGGUAUCUGAGAGUGAUUACGCUCACGCCGUCAAUGUAUAGCAACGGUUCUCUGUUCGUACGCUAGGUGAAUAUAGCGAUUUAUACCUCAAAAUUGAUGUUUUGUUGUUAGCAGACAUUUUUGAAAAUUUCCGCGACAAAUGUCUCGAAAGUUACAGUCUCGAUCCCGCACAUUAUUAUACUCUCCCAGGAUACACGUGGAACGCUAUGUUAAAGUAUACAAAAAUUACUUUUGAACUGCUUACGGACAUUGACAUGGUUAUGUUUAUAGAACGCGGUAUACGCGGCGGUUUAAGUCAAUGUUCUGAUAGAUAUGCACAAGCUAACAACAAAUACAUGCAGUCGUAUGAUCCGUUGAAACCAUCGUCAUACUUAAUGUACUUCGAUGUAAAUAAUUUGUACGAAUGGGCAAUGUGUCAAUCUUUGCCUUAUGAAAAUUUCCAAUGGGUCAAUGACGUAACAAAUUUUGACGUAUCAUCAAUCGCGCUCGAAUCAUCAACAGGCUAUAUCCUUGAAGUCGACCUCGAGUAUCCCAAUACACGACGCGCACACCGAUCUACCCUUCUGUCCGAUACGCGAUAAACCACCUGGCAAGCGAGAGGAGAAAUUGCUUACGACAGUUUGCGAAAAAGAGCGUUACGUCAUUCACUACCGCAACCUACAGCAGUGCAUGCGCCACGGUCUUCGCGUAACAAAAAUCCACCGUAUAUUGAAAUUCACACAAUAUCUCCAUGGCUUCGCGAUUAUAUAACUUAAUACAAAUUUCAGAACUAAUGCUAAAAACGAUUUCGAGAAAAAUUUAUAUAAACUUAUGAAUAACGCGGUAUUCGGGAAAACCAUGGAAAAUGUGCGUAAUCGCGUCAGUGUGAAAUUAUUAACUAAAUGGGACGGACGGCACGGUGCGGAGGCAAUGAUCGCGAAACCAAACUUCCACAGCAGAAGCGUUGUUUCAGAAAAUCUGGUUGCGAUAGAAUUGCAUAAACUCGAGGUGAAAUUUUAUAAACCGAUAUACGUAGGUAUGUGUAUCCUCGAUAUUUCUAAAACAUGUCUAUAUGAAUUUCAUCACGAGUAUGUGCUUCCACUAUAUCACGAUAAAUGCAAAGUAAUGUAUACCGACACCGACAGUCUUAUUUAUCAUAUCGAAUGCGAUGACAUACAUAUAUGAAAUAAUGAAACGCGAUAUUCACAGGUUUGACACAAGCGACUACCCGAUAAAUAAUAAGUAUGGUAUGCCUCUCUCUAACAAAAAAGUUCCCGGUUUAAUGAAAGAUGAAAAUAAUGGCGCUAUCAUGACUGAGUUCGUUGGGCUUAGAGCAAAGAUGUAUGCUUUACGCGUCGAAGGUAAAAAAGAUACAAAAAAGAUUAAAGGCGUAAAAAACAACGUUGUAGCCAGAACCAUAACAUUUCAGGAUUACACGAGAUGUCUCCACGACGAAAUUGAAUUGACGCGAAAGCAAACUUGUAUACGAUCAAAAUUGCAUAAGGUGUAGGUAUACAAUAUCGGAAACAAAAAUUGCUCUAAGUCCAUACGACGAUAAGCGGUAUAUCGUGCCUGAUUCCACCAAUACACUACCAUGGGGACAUUAUCAAAUACCAUUGUAAAUACGUUCUAUAAUAUAAAUUAUGUAUUUUAUAUUUAAUAUUCUAUAUGUAUCUUAUAAGUUGCGUUUCAUGUAUUGUGUGCGAUAUGUGAUAGUUAAUGCUUGUCAUGAGUUAAUUUUGAUACGAGCGCGCAAUGAUAAUAAUUGUCUUGUGGGAGAUCCAGCGAUGGAACCGAAACUUGAAUUAUUCAAAGUGCAAUGACGUAUGCCUCAUGUUAUGUUAAAUGAAGUCAACAAACUAUCCAUGUUGCGAACUUUGCAGAGCGGGCGAUACCUGAGUGCGAGUUUCCGUUCAUGGGAUCUAUAUGAGUAUCCCUAUUGCCAAGUACGACGAAGCAUUCCUGGGCAGUCAAGAUUGCAAUUCAGCUAGAAAAACCACGAUAUGUCAUUUUUGCUCUGCAGACUAAUAGAAAAAAUAUUAUGAGAGCUGACAAGAGAUACCUCGAUACCAGUAAAAUAACCAAUGUAAAACUUUAUCUAAACUCUGAAUUUUAUCCUUACGAUGAUCUGAAUCUAGACUUUGGUAAAGGCAAAUAUGCUCUCUUGUAUGACAUGUAUGCACAUUUUCGUCCGUCUUAUUAUCAAGUCCCAGCAGCAGAAGAAUCGGAGGAGAUGAGGCAACAAUACAAACGAGCGUCAGCCGUACCCAGUUCUGCGACCAAACCAAAAGCGAAACGAGUCACGCCCCAGCUCCCGAAAACUUCAGAGAAGAAUAUAAAAUCAAAGAAUGAGGAACCGACUGAAAUGCGUUCGCAGAGCGGGCGGAAGAUAGUCACCCCAGUGAGAUUGUCUUAUUAGUUAAAAAAAGUUCCCCUAGUCGCAACGAAAGGAACGACGGUCCUGACCGAACGGUGGCGCGCCGGCGAGCUUCCUUCUUCUUCUUCACGUUACGAGUGUAAUGGCGGACAGACCACGCGCACGAUUGUAAAGUCAUAAAUAUAUUCAGUCAUUCUCAAGUAUUCAGUGUUCCACCCAGUCAUUUCGUAGUCAUCUCAGUUUCCCGGAUCGAUCCUUAUAUCAGCAGUAACAUAAAUGUUUGGAACCGAUGUUUGACGUAGCAGCAUUUAAAUCUUAUGCUACGGUCAUUGACUGCUCGCGACAAAACGAGUCUAUUAAGAGCGCUACCGUUGAUGUGAGAUUGGAAUUUGAAUUGAAAGAGAAUGCACCGGCAAAUACUAGCGCCUACUGUCUCAUUAUACACGAUCGCGUGAUUGAAUAUUCCCUAUUGACCAACGUAAUGCGCAAAAUCAUGUAAAAAUACUGUCAUAUAAAAAUCAAGAUGUUUUGUAAUAAAAAGCAGUCUCAAAAAAUUACUCGUUAUGGUCGUGCCAACAUUUGCAGACCUGCAAGGUUUCAUUGUUAGAAAAAGAUUUGUCGUGAAGGAAGUGGCGGUAUUGAGACAGAAGAACGUUCUCUCAUAUUACAUUUUUACAAAUUCUAUACCAUGGGACGCAUUGCUAAAAUCCGAAAAGUCUUACGUUUCUUGGUUGACUGCUUAUCAUCAUGGAUUGCAAUGGCACGAUGGGAUGGUCCCGUAUUGGAUUGCGAAAGAUCUGAUUACGAGAGCUGUGUAUGGAAUGAUAAAGAAUGAUGACAUCGAUGGUGACGACGACGAUGACGGCGAUGACGAUGAUGAAGAUCUUGUAUAUGUUAAGGAGCAUGAAAAACAAGAGUGGUUGAAGGAUAUGCUGGAUGCUGAUGCGAGAGAUAAUGUAGUCAUCAAGACCAUGAAUGCUGAUUAUGAAGACAUGGAAUCUUUGAAUAAAUUAGAUGCUACUAACACUAUACAAUGUGGAAAACAUGUUAAGAAUUGCGCAUUACAAAAUGUAUUUAAAAUGUAUAAUUGGUGGUCACAACGCCAAAAGAAAAAUUGUAUUAUUUGAAAAAAUAAAAAUAUAAAAUACAUAAA